AAAAAAAAAAAAGAGAGAGAGAGGAGGGAGAGUAGGAAAAUAAGAAAGCAAUUCAUUGUUUGAAAGAACUUCAUUAUAUGUGAAAAGGAACCAGAAUGUGCAAAGAAAACCAAUUAAACAACAAAAACAAUUUUUGUGGUGAACCUCAAAUCUAUUAGCUGUUAACUAUAGACUUUAGGCCAAUACCUUCACAACUUUGUUGUUCUAAAGUUUGCUACCUGAGUAAAUUUAAGAUAUUUGCACCUAACAUUCUAACUUUAUAAGUUGAGCUCUCUUCAAAAUUUUAUGCAUGAUCAAAUUUGCACACUCUUCGCCACAGGCCAAUAAAAAUGCAUGUAGCCACGUUGAAUGGUCUUGCUUUCCAUAAUUUGCUUCAACUUCUAAAAUAAAGAUAAUCUUUCAUUAGAGUUUCUCAUUCCAGCAUCCAUUACAUGCCCCAUCCAAUCCAAUGUAAAGGACAUGGCACAUAGAACAUUUCAAGGCCAACUAGUUGGCAAACAGAAUGAUCAUAGCUCUUCGGCAUGUGGAAAAUUUUCUCUUUUUCUUUUUUAAUUCCCAGUGAUUUUAUGGUUAUUGUCAUGUUCCUCGUAUGAGACAUAUAGACAUGUUGAAACUUUUUUACACUGCAAAGCUAAGUGUGUAUGGGUAUGGCAACAACUCAAGGAAAACAAAACAGUAAAAAAAAAAAACCGACAAGUUUAAUUAAAAGGCAGAACAUAGACAUAGACGACAUACAUGGCACACAUUCUUUCAUUCAAAUGGCCUUUUUUUAGCACUUGAGGUCCCCAUUGUUCCCUGUCUAUUUUGGAUAGAACAUGGUAAAAAAAUCCAAAUGUGCAUUUCCUCUGCCUGCACGGCAGCAACGGCAAACAAAAAGAACAACAAACUACAAUUUGUUUCCCUCAACUACGUUUUUCACCUAAAAUUUCCACCCAAAUCCCAAAUUGGAGUGAAAACUGUAGUAAAAGAAGGUGAAAAACUAAAAACUUUUCCCGUGCAUUCCAUUUUUUCCCUUUUCUCAUUUACAAACCAGAAAAUUACAAAAAAAUCCCAAUAUUUACUGUUGUCUAGCAAUAUGAACAACAUCAAGUGCAAUUGAGGUCCUAAAUAACAAAUAAAAACAUGUUACUUUUAGCAUAACCUUCAAAGUUCAAACCAUAUCUUUCAAACAACUAUUACAAUGUCAGGCAAUAACCAAAUGGAAGAACAAAUUCAAUCCAAGUACAAGGAACAAAGCAAUCAAAACAUCUUCCACAAAAAAUUCCCUGGCUUCAAUCCACCACACAAAGUUCUCAAUAGCUGUACUACAGUAUACACACACACCCAAAUAUGUGGUUGUGUGUGUAUGGUACACACCAUUACAAGUGCAAAUUACAUCAACCACUCUCCAAAUAUCAAUCAAAAGAUACAAAACCACAGUUUAAGAAAAAAAGAUUGUAAAUUGAAGCCGAGUUUCACUAAAUAUAACUCUAAAUCGUAUUGUGGGUAACUGGAACAAAACUUUUACCGUUACCUGUUUGCAGGGAAUAUAGUCUUUUAAAACCCGCAACCUCUGGUGAAUCCAAGGUCCUAAAAAAUCCGCCAAUCAGAGAUUAGUCUUGAACUCCCCUGAAAAAAACCCAACAAGGCAAAAUCAUUAAAUGAUACACUAGAAUUGAACCCGUCUCAAAUAUCAGAGGAAAAAACCAUCUAUACAAACAUGGAAGAAAAGAAAACAGAAAGGGAGAGAGAGACCUAUGGAGUAAGCAAGAAGUGAGGGGAGUGGCAGAGAGGAGAACGACAGAGGGCAUCGAGAUGGGUGGGGGUAUCACUCCGGGUGAUGACGGAUUGAUCCG
rnacentral:misc_RNA from 1 species